GAACUCUAAAUAUAGGUUUCCCAAGUAAUUUACUUGGGGACAUUUUAUUUCACCAAUUACUCACAUAACCAUUUAUCAAGAUGUGACAAUACACCCACUAUUAUUUACUGGUGGGUUUUAUUUCAACGAUUCUUCCAUUUAUUUUGACAUAGAAGGGUAAUAACCCAGAACAAGCAAUUAUGUACAGUGUAUAUUGUAGUAAGCAUUGUUAAAGCUACACACACAGACAACUUUGCACCCAUAUAGGGUAUAUUGGGCUGGCAGAAAUAAUUUGAAUGUGCAUUGGACUAAGAAUUUUCUUAAUUUAUUGACCUCUAAAUUAAAAUCACGUCUUGUUUUAUACUUUUAAUGAACAUUAGACUUUAGCUUAGAUAUUCAGAUCAGCAAAUGUUGUUCUAUAUUCCAUAGCCCUUGGGAGUAGUGAUACUUUUUCACUAGUACUCAGGUGAUCGAUAAGGCCUGUGGGCCUCUUCUUUGUUUAAAAAAACUCCUUCUCACACAGACACACACUUACAUGCAUAUAAUUUGUAGAUUGACAGAAGUUAAGGUACAUUGGACUCAUAAUUAUUAGAAUUUGUUUCCUUCUAAAAACAAAAACAUACGCAGCAAAUUCUCAUUACAUGCAAGUAUUACUUAUCUUGUUGUAGUUCAUAUGAAAAGUUAAGUACGAGGCCUAAGAAACAAUGUCUCUAAUUUUUGUUUUAUCAGGCUGCAGAGACUGGGAAAAUAGUGCCUUUAACAGCAACAGGGUGUCAGACAAAAAGUAAUGGGAAACGGAGUGUGAAAAUCCAAGUCGCUGCUAAACAGAAAGAGAAAGUACUGCAGGUGGAUUUUCAACCCAGGGUGAGAAGUAUUGGGAUCCAGUUUAAUGGCAGAGAUGAUGUGAGGGAACAUCCUGUGAUCACCCCCGACCCUAUCCAGAUGCAUGAGUCAUCCAACAGCGAGGAGUCAGAGGACCAGACAGAGACGGAUUCCACGUCCGUUUAUGAGCCGUCCAGUGCUAGUUCAAAUGACUCUCAUCUAACAGAUACACAAUAAUCAUGAAGACUAUAGUCCAUUGGAGGAGAAGAAGUCUCUGCAUCAAAGCUGUUGGAAUUAUUCAACACCUGCAAGAGAUGCAACAGAUUCACCACAGUUUCCAUUCAACAGGGAUUUGGUACGAUGGUAAAUAUCGCUGCAUAGUGGAACCAUUAUAACUGAUCGCCAUGUUCAAAUCCAAAAGAGAAUAAGGGAAGAACUGCCAGAGACUAAACAUUACUAUGAUGUAUGGCAUGUUGCAAAAGGUAUGAUAUAUACAUAUCUCAUCAUUACAAAUAAGUAAACAUACAUUUAGCAACUAAAGUAUAUUGCUAAGAUUUGAAGUAUUUAUGUUGAGAAAAUGUGUAAUUAUUUUAUCCUUUUUUAUUGGGAAAGGUUGAUAAUUGCUGCUCUACAUUUUAAAGAGAAUUCCUCAAGGCUGCAUGACAUAACAAAGGAAGGGGACCAACAAUUUAAAAUCAGUUUCCCUAAGAUCAAGCAUGGCGAAUGCAGUGUUCGUAGAAAGCCUGUUGAUCCUACAAUUAGUAAGAAUGUACUUUUAAAGAUAAUCCGUUAUCAUAAUUCAUAUCAGAAUUAAUUGGCAUGACAUUUUUACCAUUUUUGCAUUUGUCACUUUUCUUUCAAUUAAGUUUAAAACAGCAAUAACAAAGUUAAUGAAAAUUAUUAUUAUUUAUCAAAAUACAGUACAUAUAGUAAAGAGCAAUUAGAAGAAGCGGUUCUACGUUUUAGAUCGAGGUUACGUCGGAAGGAGACAUCCGUGUGAAUAUGAACAAAACGUGACGCUAGCUUUUUGGACAUUCUAGCAAAGCAGAUAAAAGAUAUGUUGGUCAUACAGAUGUGCCCUUUUUUAAUCUUGUUUAAAAAUGUUUAAUCAUUGUGAAAAAUCUUUAUCUUCGGGUUUUGUUUACAAAUGAACCAAAGUCAUAUAUAGCAGUAGGUUGUAAAAAUAAAUACUUUUACAAAUAAAAGAUUUCUGUGGACAACCAUGAUAUAGAAUCAGACCGUUAGGUAACAAUCUGUUUGGAACAGUGUAUUUUUGCAAAUAACUUAUAGAAUGAAACAUUAGCAUAGUACAUGUAGUAUUAGCUUAGUAUAUAUAAUAGUUGUAAGAGUUUAAAAAAUGAUAAAACUUUUUCUUUAAAUGGGAACAUGACAACAGAGUCCUCGUCCCGUUCCUGGGUGCAGAAACAUUUUAUUUAAAAUAUUGUUUGUGUAGCUGAUGCUUUCUAGAAAAUUGAUAAUUAGUAGUUUUCUGUUUUGCCAGUAUUUACUUUAAUCAUAAUUAUGAUAUUUUUUACUACCGUUAUCUUCAUAAAUGUCUUAUUUUUGGGCCAUUUCUGUUAGAAUGUUGUGCUUGAAUUUUGUUUGUAUACAUCAUGUUUGAAUCCUACAUUUGUUUUUUAAAAAAAAGUUGCUUCAUCAAAAUCAUACCAUCACUCGGGUGCAUUGAACCCUUGGUCCUCCUCAGAGGGAAAGGAAUUCCGUCACAGCACAUGAGGGUAGAGGGACUCGCACCUUGUGCCCUAUGUAUCCUUAGCACCAUCAAGCACAUUGUCCGUGUGCUGUGUAUCUGUUACGCCUGCAAUUCCAGGAAAUGUUUGAAAUUAUUCACUAAUGAUAAACUAGCAAUGGGCCCCAA